rnacentral:rRNA from 1 species
AGUGAACGCUGGCGGUAGGCCUAACACAUGCAAGUCGAACGGCAGCACAGUAAGAGCUUGCUCUUACGGGUGGCGAGUGGCGGACGGGUGAGGAAUACAUCGGAAUCUACUUUUUCGUGGGGGAUAACGUAGGGAAACUUACGCUAAUACCGCAUACGACCUACGGGUGAAAGCAGGGGAUCUUCGGACCUUGCGCGAUUGAAUGAGCCGAUGUCGGAUUAGCUAGUUGGCGGGGUAAAGGCCCACCAAGGCGACGAUCCGUAGCUGGUCUGAGAGGAUGGUCAGCCACACUGGAGCUGAGACACGGUCCAGGCUCCUACGGGAGGCAGCAGUGGGGAAUAUUGGACAAUGGGCGCAAGCCUGAUCCAGCCAUACCGCGUGGGUGAAGGAGGCCUUCGGGUUGUAAAGCCCUUUUGUUGGGAAAGAAAAGCAGCAGGUUAAUACCCCGCUGUUCUGACGGUACCCAAAGAAUAAGCACCGGCUAACUUCGUG